ACAUAUGGCAAGAAGUUUUCUAUCAUUAUGUAAAAUAUUUGGAAAAUACCUUCGUGGAAGAAACAUACAAAAACCAGCCAUAUAUACCCAUAAAAUUGCUAAUUCAUCUAGCAAUUGUCCUAUGACAAAAUAAUAAGAUUUACAAAUCGACCAUAAUCUCUAAAGAGAUGCAUUAGAACAGGUGGAAGUAAUAAAAAUACUACAUUACUUAGCUGUGAAUAAAAAUAUUUUUAGUUUAAUAUUUUAGGAAUUUAUAAGUUCUAUAAUUUUAAAAAGAAAAGAGAAAGAAUUUUGUCUAUAUCAUUGUACAUACGAACCGUAUUCAUAAAUUCUGCAAUACUAGAAGAAAUACUAUAAUUGCGUUCACACCAAUCAAUUGGUGAACUACCAGCUUCAAAUGGUUUCCACAUAUCGAAAUAUAUAUUUUUACCAGAUUUUUAUCAAUAUAAAAAAGUAUAAAUGUAACAUUUGUAAUCUAUAAUCUGUAUAAAACAUGUAUAAUUGUAAUAAUAUAGAAAUGAGUCACUAAACUAUUUAAAGUUUAUGAAGAAUAUGCAAAUCAAAGAGAAA